AAUGAAAACAUGGACUCCCCAUAUUCACAGCAGAGAAGUUUUUCACAUUGAACACAGACCAGAGAAGUGUUUCCACUAAUUUAUAUCUGAUAUGUGAAGGGCUAAGAAGUCAUCACUCCCAUCUUCAUAACAAGAAAAAAAGCUGAACAAACUGGAAAUCAACAACUAUGCUUAGGUUCAUCAGAAAACUGAGGUCAUUGGCUAAAUUGCAGCCCUGGAAGACAGACACAUGGAUACAGAGAAUCAUAGCUUAACAGGAACAGAAAACUGGAAGCAGAAGGCCUUAGCUUUCUGUAGGAACACUAACUGUCAUUGGUGAAUUGCUGGAAGGUUAGUGUGGACUAGCUUGUGAGUUAAAAAAUCCAAAGGGACCCAGUCUCAGGGGCACCCCGCACUUUCAUGAGUUUUACCUCCAGGAAACCUACCAGGUUCUCAAUAUCCCCUGUGCUUCUGGCAGGGAGAGGAAAGCUCUGAAAUACAUCCAGACCUCUCUGAUCUCCUUAAAAAAGCUUGUCCCUAAGGGAAUCUAUUUUACCAGAACCUAACAGGCUGGAGUUUUACCAAAGCCUGAUCAACAAAAUAUCCAACUCAGGCUCGCUAAAAGACUGAGACUUAAUUAUGGACAGGAGAACACUUCCUCUUCUCCCACACCUUGCGACCACAUCAAUAAGGCUAUUGUAUAAUAACAGGGGAUUACAGCAAAAAGAACUGCAGGCCUCUGACCAUAUUUAAAGAGUGCCAAAGGAAACCCAAAGACAAUAGAGUAGACAAAAGCAAGGAUACUAGAGGAAAUUUUAGUCUCUGACACUAUAGCUACAGCAAAUAGUAAGCAGAAUCUAACUCCUAGUCACAUAAAUAUAAAACCUUGCACUAAAGACCUAUCUAUCACAGUUCCUUUUAUAUCAUAUCCAGCCUUCAACAAAGAAUUACAAGCCACUCUAAAAGGCAAAAACAAAGUCUGAAGAGACAAAGCAAGCAUCAGAACCAGACUCAAGUGUGGCACAGAUUUGGGAACUAUCAGACAAGGAAUUUAAAACAACUAUGAUUAAUACGCCAAUGGUUCUAAUGGAAAAAGUGGACAGUGCAAGAACAAGUGAGUAAUAAAAGCAGAGAGAUGAAAGUGCAAAGAAGGAAACAAAUGAAAAUGCAAGAAAUCAAAAACACUGUAACAUAAAUAAUGCCUUUGAUGGGCUCAUAAGUAGAUUGGACAUAGCUGAGGAAAGAAUCAGUGAGCUUAAAGAUGAGUCCACAGAAACUCCCCAAACUGAAAUGCAAAAAGAAAAAAGAAAUAAAAAGUCAGAACAGAGUAUCUAAGAACUGUGGGCUAUUAGAAAAGGUAUAUGAUACAGUUUAGAUGUUCUGCCCCCUCCAAAUUUCAUGUUGAAAUGUGAUCCCCAAUGCUAGAGGUGGGGCCUGGUAGGAGGUGUUUCGGUCAUGGGGGCAGAUGCAUCAGGGAUGGCUUAGUGCCCUCCUCAUGAUAAUGAAUGAGUUAUCAUUCUACGUUCAUGUGAGUCCUGGUUGUUUAAAAGAAUGUGGUAUCUCGUCACUUUCCCUCUCUCAGCAUGUGAUAUGCUAGCUGCCCUUUCCUUCUGCCAUGAUUGUAAGCUUCCUGAGGACCUAACCAGAAGUAGAUGGUGGCACCUUGCUUCCUGUACAGCCUGCAGAACCAUGGGCCAAAAUGAAUCUGUUUUCUUUAUACAUUAACCAGUCUCAGGUAUUCCUUUAUAGCAAUGCAAAUGGACUGACACAGAAUAACACAUGUAUAAUGGGAAUACUGGAAGGAGGAGAGAAAAAGGAACAGAAGCAACAUUUAAAGCAACAAUUACUGAGAAUGUCCCAAAAUGAAUGACAGACACAAAGCUACAGAUCUGCAAAACUCAGAGAACAUCUAGGAGGAUAAAUACCAAAAAACCUAUAUCUAGGCAUAUUAUAUUCGAAUUAUAGAAAAUCUUUUUUAAAAGCUAGAGGAAAAAGAACACCUUACCUACAGUUGCACAAGUAUAAGAUUUACACCAAACUUAUACUCAGAAACCAUAUAAGCAAGAAGAGUGUGGAGUAAAAUAUUUAUCCCGUCUUAAAAAAAAAGACUACUAACCUAAAAUUCUGUAUCCAACAGAAUUAUCCUUCAAAAGUGAAGAAGUUUGGGAAAAAUAAAAAAGUUCUGGGGGUGGAUGGUGGUGAUAGUGGUACAACAAUGUGAAUGUACUUAAUGCCACUGAACUAUACACUUAAAAGUGGUUAAAAUAGUAUAUUUUAUGUUAUAUAUAUUUUGCCACAAUUUUUUAAAGUGAAGUAGUAAAUACUAAAGACUUUCUGAGACCAACAAAAAUGGAGAAAAUUUGUCACCAGUAGACUUGCCUUGCAAGUAAUAUUUUAAAAAGUUCUUCAGAGAGAAGAAAAAUAUAUCGGCAGAAACUCAGAUCUGUAUUAAAAAAAAUGGAAGAGCAUUAGGAAAGAAAAAAAGAAGGUAAAAUAUUAAAUUUUUCUUAUUAUUUAUUGAUCUAACAGAACAGUUUGUUCAAAAUAACAAUGACAAUGCAUUCAGUGAUUAUAGCUUAUUUGUGAAUGAAAUGAAUGAUAGUCAUUUUAUAAGAGACAAGAGAGAAGAAUUGGGAAUACUGUUUUAUAUAGUACUUGUACUACCAUGAUGUGGUAUAAUAUUACUUAAAAGUGCACUUAGAUUGGUUGUAAACAUAUUCUAAAAACUCUAGGGCAACCACUAAAAAUCGUACUUAAAAAAGAAGUAUAAUUAAUAUGCCAAGAGAAGAAAAAGUAGAAUCAUAUAAAUUGCCUAAUUAAAACCAGAGAAGUGGAAGACAAAAAAGCAAAGAAAAGAGAGAAAGAAAAAAGUAAGAAUGAAUGAGCAAACAAAGGAAAGAAAUAGAAAAUAUGUACAAAUAUGAUCGCUAUUAAUCCAACUAUAUCAAUCACUUUAAAUGUGAAUAGUCUAAAUACAUCAAUUAAAAGACAAAGACUGUCAAAGUGGAUAAACAAACAAGACCCAAUUAUAACUUGUCUACUAGAAACCCACCUUAAAUAUAAAGUUACAGAUUAAUUUCACUAUGCAGGUGAAGGAAAAUGAGACUCAGAGGACUAAGGCAUCAUAUUCUUGCAGAUUUUAAGUGGCAGAGCCAGAAUCAGACUGAAGUUUAGUUAACUACAUAGUCUCUAGUCUCUCCUUCAAACUGUGUUGCCUGGAAAGGGUCUUUAUAUUUCAUGCUGUGAGAAACAGAUAAUCUCUUCCAAAGUUUACUCGUAAUACAUCAGAUUACCCUGGCCAAUUCUCUUUUUCAGUCUCAUUUUAUUUAUUUAGUUAGUUAGUUAGUCAGUUAGUUAGUUUUUGAGAUGGAGUCUCGCUCUGUCGCCCAGGCUGGAGUGCAGUGGCACGAUCUCAGCUCACUGCAAGCUGCGCCUCCCGGGUUCAUGCCAUUCUCCUGCUUCAGCUCCCGAGUAGCUGGGACUACAGGCGCCUGCCACCACGCCCGGCUAAUAUAUAUAUAUAUAUAUAUAUAUUUUAGUAGAGACAGGGCUUCGCCGUGUUAGCCAAGAUGGUUUAGUCUCAUUUUUUUUUUUUUUUUUUUUUUUUUGAGACGGAGUCUGGCUCUGUCGCCCAGGCUGGAGUGCAGUGGCGCGAUGGUUUAGACUCAUUUUUAAAAGACUUUAGUUGUUCAGAAGAGUAGAGUGAUAUAGUUGAAUAGUGGCAAAAGAACUAACUGAGGGGCAAAAAGAGGCUAUUAACAGUUAUUGAGAGACUGUAUGUACAUGACAUUCUCCUAGACCCUGGUAGAGCAUAGCGACAACACUGUCACCUCAAAUGAAGAACAUUACAAUCUAGAAAUGGAAAUCUCAACACCUUAUUUUUUUUCUAGGCCUACUAGAAAAAAUAAAAAAGUAAAUUAGUAUAAUCCACUUUUACCAAAAAUUUUCAAAAUUUUCAAAAUUCCUUGAGAAUAUUUAUAGACUUCUAAAAGUAAAACAUAAAAUUGUUUUAGACAAUUAUCCAACAUUUGAAAAUAAAGCAAAGUUUGAAUGUCUCUUCCAUGAUAAAAUGGAGCAUAGCCCAAGAAGCCAUCAAAGCAUUAUUUAAUUAUCUAUGUGGUUAUAGUUUUGUGUGACCUACUGUUUACUACUGAAUUGACCCAGCAUUAUGAAGCUGUAAAUUGACUGGUAGAUUUGUGUCUUGAAGAAAUGCAAAUUGCUUCUACCCAGAAAAGAAAAAAAAAAAGAUAAUCUCAAAGGUUAUAGUUUUAUUUUCCUACUGGAUGUUUGAUAAUUUAAUAUGUAUACUAGAAAACGAAUUCAUAUGAUUUUCCUGAGAAAAUAUACAACCUAUACAACCUACACAGCCUACUCAUCUAGUUCUCUUGAACCAGCUGUACCAUCUUGCUGGUUCUCUCAUUAAAUAAGCUAAAUCAAUCUUUGACAAAUGUUCCCUCUAUAUUUGUGUAAGAGUCAUGUUUUCAACUUUUUAAAAAAAUUAUAUUUUGACAGAUUUGAAGGUUGCCCUAAAGGUGCAUAGUGUGUUCACCUGCUAGAGCUAGUUAAGCAGAGUUGCCCAAGAAACUCCUGGGGUGAAUCACAAACAGCAAUAGAAUUUUCCCUUUCGGACUGUCAGAUUUGUCUUCUGAUUCUGUUUUUCUUUUCUUUUCUUUUUUUCUGGUUUGUUUCAUUGUCGCUCCUGAUCUUGGCCAGGAAGUUCCACAUUUGUUUAACUUAUUGUCUAGGAUUAUGUCCAUUUUCACAACUGCUACUGGAUCACAAGGUUGGGCUUAAUUAUGUAAUCAAGAGAACCCUCAUGUAUAAAACAGGUGUAUAAAACAGCCGAUUCCAGAGACUAGUAGGUACUGAAUAACUAGGUGAGUAGAGGUCACAUAAUCUAUAAAAUGUUCCCCCUUUGGAAUGACAAUAAUUAGCAAUCUGGUUUUAUGACAAGAUCACUUGGUAACCUAUAUUAGGAUGAUGAGAAUAUAUUCUUUGUUGAGUGGUAGAAGACAGAGAAUAUGGUUAGUUGUUCCAUAUUUUUUGUGUGUCUAUUUGUCUGCUUAAAUCCAUAAAGAAAACAUUCAUUUUUCACUGAAAAGGAGAAUAACCAUUGAGACUGUGUGUCUUUUGCUUGAGGUUGUGGAACUGAAUUUCAAGUCCUGUAGGUGGUUGUGUAUUUAACUGAGAAAAAAACCUUUCACCACUAUUUACCAUAUUUAGUAUUCAUAUAUGCAUAUAACUAUUUAUCAUAAUAAGAAUAUGAAGUCUUUUCUUCUAGGAUAUACCAAUAAAUUAAAUUACAAUGUGUCUUCAGUAAAAACAGCUUUUUCUAAUAUUAGAGUCUAUUAAAUACUUGUACAAAUUUAAUAGUCCCAGAAUUCUCAUAAAAUAAAGAAACUGAUCUCUAAUAUAAUGAAUGUUCUAGUCUUUUAAGGAAAAAUAAAUUUCCAGAUAAAAAUGCUGCCUCAGAAGCAUUGUUAGUAUGUAAGAAUCAAGAUGAAUCUUUAGAUAUAUAUUGGUUUGGUAAUUUUAGUUUACAAAAUUUUCCUUGUUUUGUCAUUACGAAAAAUAAACAUCAUUUAACUUAAUUUUUUUAAUUUAUAUUUCUUUUCUAAUGAAGACAUUAGUUAAUCUUAAAUUUGGUUACAACUUAUGGCUUAUAUGGGUGGUCACGGUAAAUGAAUGAGCAUGUUUGUGUUCCAAUAAAAGUAUUUACAAAAACAGGUGGGCUGGAUUUAGGUAGUGAGUCGCCAGAGUCCCAACCUGACAAGUAUGAAAAAAGAAAAAAAGGUACUUCCUGGUUAAUUUAACUCGGACUACCUUUCCUAAUGAAUUAUUUGACUUCUGUUUCUUCCUUUAACCAUCUUUUCAUCCUGAUGAUUUCCUUCAUUGAGCCAAAUAAACGUUAAGCAUAUGCUUGUUUUAUAUUUCUAUAUUUUUACUAUUUAAAAAAAAAUUUUUUUGAUAGAAUCAAAUAACAGAGGACCAGGCAUGGUGGCUCACACCUGUAAUCCGAAUACUUUUGGAGGCCGAGGCAAGCGGAUCACCUCAGGUCAGGAAUUCGAGACCAGCCUGGCCAACAUAGUGAAACUCCAUUUCGACUAAAAACACAAAAAUUAGCCAGGAGUGGUGGUGCAUACCUGUAAUCCCACCUACUGGGAAGCCUUAGGUAAGAGAAUCACGAACCUGGGAGGCAGAGGUUGCAGUGAGCCGAGACCAUGCCACUGCACUCCAGCCUGGCUGACACAGCGAGACUUUGUCUCAAAAAAAAAAAAAAAAUCAGAUAACAAAAUAACAGAGCCACAUACAAAAAUCUUAUUAGAACUGAUGCAAAUGUAGAUGGGGCCAAUACGGUAUAGACUAUGCAGAUGAUACAAAAGAGCUUAAAACUAUGAUUCUGCUGUGACAAAAGUUUCCAUCAAAUAUGUGUCCCUAAGCCUUCAACUCCUUUUUAGUCAUUAUUUAUCCACUUCUUGUCAUUGAUUAAUGAGAAUAAAAGCCACCCUAUUGCACAGGAAAAAAAUCAUACACUGAAUUUAUUAAAUACAUAAUUUAAUGCAAAUAUGAUUAAAUAAACUUUGUCUUUUCAGUGUGAAUCACAAUGAAUUCUAUGAGGAAAUAAUAGAUUUGCUCUUUAUUUUUAAUAGGUUUCUGUCUCAGAUGGUAUGCAAUUCAGCAUAUACCAAGUAUUGAAUAUUGUGAUGAUGCAGGGCUAAUAAUUUCAUGUAGCUGUUUACAUUUUAUUUUCCACAAAUACCUUAAUGAUAUCUCUGGCACCACAGGAUAUCAAUGACUAAAUUUUUAUGCUUUAUCUCUAGUCUGUAGAAAUUAAAGUGUUUAAGUUGUCCUUUGGCAUGCUACUGUUUUGAACAAUUAAAGUGUUUGAUCUAGUUUAAAUGAUGUUACAUUUAUUAAGACACACUUGCCUAAAAUAUCAAUUUCCUUUUCUAAUUUAGUAUUCUCCUAGAAUUUUACUCUAAUUAAUGUAGACAAUUUUACCUGGACAUGUGAGAGUUUGCUCUCCUUUGAAUGUGAUGUAAUUUAUCAUGUUUAUAUGUACACUGAUCCUUUUCCAGCAGAAAUAACUUAAAAAGAUAUUUAAAACAGAGAUAACAGGUGUUUUGUAUUUAUUUACACCUAUGAUGUCCUGUGACUUAACUACCCAUUGGCAGUAUCAUUUAGUGGGAAUAGCGAAGAAAGCUAAAACUUUGGUUUUAGUCUUGGUUCCACCAGUAACUUAACCUGUACUAUAACAAGUAUCUAAUCUUCCCAUGUCCCCAUUCUCCUGUCUGUUAGAUAAGAAUAUUGAGGAUCAUCUUCAAAAUUCCUUUCAGCCUGAAAAUGUCUUGGUUCUCUGAUACAGCAUGUUAGAAGUGAUAGGAAAUUUUUCAAGAUAUAGGAAAAACAAACACAUUAGUGACAAUGAAAUAUAAAGACAAGUGACAAAGAGGUGGUAAGCAUGAACACUUCCAGUGCAGUGGUUCUAUCCUACCCAAUAAUCCUAGUUUCUAAAGUGGCACAUGGAAAAGCAAUAAACAUAUGCUGAAUGAAGAAAUCGAUGAGAGAGGAAGAACAGGUACAGACAGUAUGUGGUAAUGCAGCAGAGAGUAAGUAUGGAUUCAUUUUUCUUAGGAAAAGAAGACAUCUGUCAGUCAGAUGGGUAUGGGUGAUCCAUGCCAAGAAGGACAUUCCAGUUUGAAUCUGGAAUGAGAGAAAUAAGCAAAGGCUCAGAGAUGAAAAUGUUCAUUUUGUGCUAAUAAAGUGACAAGACAACCAGGGGAGCAGGUGUUGGUAGAGGAAAAGCGGAAAGGUAAUUUGGAGGCAUUCAUGGAGGAUCUGGAAUAUUGAGCAAAGAUAACCCCGAGAGAUGCCGUGACAGUUCAUUCCAUAGACAAGCUCAACACAUUAUCCUAAACAGAGGCACUUGACAGGAGUUUUAACCCACUUCUGUGCUGCAGGUUACUGAGUGCAUUAGUCUGCUCUCAUGUUGCUAUAAAGAAAUUCCAGGGACUGGGUAAUUUGUAAAGAAAAGUGGUUUAAUUGGAUCAUGGUUCCGAAGGCUGCACAGGAAGCUGAAGCUGGUAUCUGCUCAGCUUCUGGAGAGGCCUCAGGAAACUUUCUGUCAUGGAGGAAGGCAAAAGGAGAGCUAGCAUUUCACGUGGCCAGAGCAGAAGGAAGAGAGUGGGGGAUGUGUCACAUACUUUUAAAGACCAGAUCUCAGGAGAACUCACUAAUCCAAUGACAGCAUCAAGGAGAGUGAUGUGAAACCAUGAGGAAUCACCACCAUGAUUCUAUCCCCUCCCACCAGGCCCAACCUCCACCACUGGGGAUGAAUACAGAACAUGAGACUUGGGUGGGGACACAGAUCCAAACCAUAUCACUGAUUUUGAGCUGCCCUCAAAAUAGCUUAGAGGCUUUAUUAGCAUCUCAGGCCUAUUCUUUAGUGUGGGUAAAAUGUACUAAUAACAACAAAGGAAGUUACAGAAAAAUUAAUUUGGGCUGUGUAGGGAAAUUAGAUAAAACUACAGCUUAGACUGACACCAGGCCAACUUUAUUAUGUAUAUCUCCUUCUGGAAUGGAGGCUAACUCUUCUAGUACUCAAACAACCAUUUCAUUCUCCUGAAUCCAGAGUGACAGAUUCACUCUCAGAAGGAAAUGGACUGGGAAUUCAGAAAGAGUUAAUUUGUAUAUGUGAAUCAUGGAUGCUUUCCAUUUUUCAAUCAGAGGAAAUGAAGUGCUUUUCAAAUAUAUGACCCAGAAAAACUCAGAGGGCUUGAUCUCCUAUUUCCUCCCUAUAAACCCAGUAUUACAGUUGUUAAAAUUCCCAUGACAAAUAUGUUCUUCCUCUUGUGUUUUGAGUUAUUCUCCCUUUUUGGAACAUUCUUAAAUUUCCCUGAAGUCUGUGUUUAUGCCCUUUAAAAAGAAUGAAUAUAAAAGAAGUUUGUCACAUGACUUUCAGAUGCAAUAAAACUCAUUCCCAAGUUUAAUUCCUAAACAUACUGUUUUAAAUUUAUCAUUUGUCCAUUUAAAAAUGUUUUUAAAGCAAUAUUUUCUUUUUAAAUUGUAGUCUUACAGCAGUUUAAUGAAAUUGAUCUAAUAAAAACUUAUUAAAGUAAUAGAUGGUUUGAGAAUCAUGUUUCCCUUUAGAAAAUACACACUUACAUGCAUAUAUGUACAUACUACAUAUAUACAUAGCCUGGAGCUCCAUAAUAAGGAACUGGGGUAUGGAUUCCUAAGAUGUACUUCUCUAAUUCCUCAUUCACAACUUCACCAUGAGCGAGUUUCUUAACAGCUUUAGCCAUCUUUAAUAUACUUAACCACAUUUAACAUAAUAUCCUAAUGCUAGGCUUCUUUGGAGAGAUGCGGCUAAGCUCCAUUAGUUAUAGCUUGUGGAGAGGUUGGAUGCUCUUGGAUGAAUGGUGCCAUGUGAAAUUGCAAUAUAAUUGCUACAAUUAAGAGGCCACAUUCUCUGCUUAUACAACUCACUGGGAAAUUAUUUUUGCACCAAAGGUAAUAAUUUUUAUCUUUAUCCUUAUGUAAAAGCCCUAAAUAUUUUCAAUUGCUUUUAUACCUAGGUAUCAUAAUUAACAUUAUGCCUAGUCAAAAUUAAAUAGAUCUUUCAGUUGAGCAAGUAUAACCCUGAGAAAUGCUGUGACAGUUCAUUCCAUAAAAAACUCGCCACAUUAUCCUAAACAGAAGCACUUGACAGGAGCUUUAACUCACUGCUGUGCUGCCGGUUACUAAGUGUAUUAGUCUGUUCUCACAUUACUAUAAAGAAAUACCUGAGACGGGGUAAUUUAUUUAAAAGAGUUUUGUUCAGCUCAUGGUUCUGAAGGCUAUAUAGGAAGCAUGAUGCUGGCAUCUGCUCAGCUUCUGAGGAGGCCUCAGGAAACUUAGAAUCACGGCAGAAGGUGAUGAUUUGAGCUCAUUAAGAGAUACUAUCAUACAGACAUUAUUUCUUUUCUAUUGUGGAAAUUACUAGAUUUUCAAAUAUUCAGAUAUUCUUGAAUGAUUCUUGCUCAGAAAUUUAAAUUCAACAAAUGAGUAAGAGAUUUUUUCUUUUUGAUUCAAUAUGUUUUUUGUUUUUUUUUUGUUUUGUUGUUUUGCUAAACCCCUAUGAACUUCCUGAUAUAAUGAAGACAGUGUAGUAAAUGGUAUCCCAGUCAGUUGGACACCCUAUAAAAAGACAUGAUUUGGAUUUUGGAUCUCAGAUGACUGGGGUUGAUAUGUUAUUCUUCUACUAAUUAACUCUUGGAUUUUUGUCAGUUGGAUAUGUUACUUAACAUUUUCUCUAUACCAAUUUUCUAAUCCAAAAAGUGGUAUACAUUAUGUACAUGACAAGGCAAUGCAGUUGGGAAAACUGAAUAAGAUAACAUAUGCAUGUAGCAUAAAGCUUCACUAGACAGUGCUUAAUAAAAUUUAGUUAUCUCCUCUACUUUUAAAUUGACAUAAAUAGGUCAAAGGGUACAAAGUUGCAGCUCUGUUGGAUAAAUAGUUCUAGGAAUCUAAUGCACAGCAUGAGGACUAUAGUUAAUAAUAUUGUAUUGCAUUCUGAAAAUUUACUGAGAGUAGGUUUUAGGUGCUACUACCCCAAAAAGAGAAUGUAAAAGUUAACUAUGUGAGAUAAUAUAUAUGUUAAUUCAUCUGACUGUAGUAACCAGUAACCAUUUCCCUAUGUAUAUCAAAACAUUAUGCUGUGUAAAUAAAUACAUAGAAUAUAUAUCAUAAAAUGGCUUUUUUUUUUUUUUUUUUGAGACGGAGUCUCGCUCUGUCGCCCAGGCUGGAGUGCAGUGGCACGAUCUCAGCUCACUGCAAGCUCCGCCUCCCAGGUUCACGCCAUUCUCCUGCCUCAGCCUCCCAAGUAGCUGGGGCUACAGACGCCUGCCACCUGGCUAAUUUUUGUAUUUUUAGUAGAGAUGAGGUUUCACCAUGUUAGCCACAGUGGUCUCGAUCUCCUGACCUCGUGAUCCAUCCACCUCGGCCUCCCAAAGUGCUGGGAUUACAGGCGUGAGCCACCACACCCGGCCUAAUUUUUUAAAAUGUCUUCCACAUUCAAGGAUGUUGAAAUAUAAUGUAAUUAAGUAGGUUAAUUAAACUGACAAUUUGUUUUCAGUAAUGAUCUGGUUGUUCUCUUGUUCAAAAUGAUUAUUUAUAUAUGGUUUUAGCAUACAAAACCUGCCCAAUACACAUUACCUAAUUUUUAUUUUAAAAAAGUUAUUUCAAUGUAAAUAUCACUGAUAUUAUAUGUAUUACUCUGAAAAAUUACAUAUGUGCAUUGAAAACUGUGUCGAUAAAUGCAUAAGUUAUGAUUUCCAAGCCACAGUGAAAAUAUACCCUAAAGACAGACAGAGGAAUCAGAGAUUUCUAGUGCUAAAAGAAACCAUAGUUAAUUUUGGAGUCAGAGUACUGCGUUCUAUGAUACAUAUGUGGACACAAGCUUGAUGACUUGGCCAAAAUUGUAUCACCACUUAGUGCUAGAAAUGGGACAAAUAUCUUGAUGUUCUGAUUCUAAUUCCCUUUUUUCCGCAAUACUAAAUAAUAGGAAAAUAUUUUUAUUAUGGUCUGGUCAGUGUAGAAUUGGCCUUUCAUAUUCUAUGAACAUUUUCUGAUGACAGUUUAGGACUGGAUUAAAAAAAGAAUAAUCUUUCAAGAAAGAAGCAAUUCUACAACUGAAGUUAAACAGAGACUGACCUGCAUGAGCAUUCAUGAAUGAUUCUACCCUAUUAUAUUGGAUAUUGUAGUCACUUGGGUGUAAAAUCAACAAAUAUUUGCAAGCAAGGGUCACUCGCACAUUUUGCUGAUACAGAAAUACAACCAUAGAGGUGCUACAGUUACCUAAAAGUCAUGCACUAAUUCAAAAAAAUAUUUCUGAUUUCUAUUCCUAUUGUCCUGUAUUCCUUAUAUCUGAUAAUGACUAUGGCCAGAUUAAAUAGUUUGCAAAUAGCUGUUCUCUCCUACCACAGAUUAGCAUAAAUUUGAUGUUAAUUCAUCACUUCUAGCUUUGAAGGACCACAAAUGAGGGUGAUAAAAGCAGAUGCCUAGCAUAUGGCAACAGAUGGGUCACCACAUUUAAGGAAAGCUACUGGGAAUAGCUUGGUUUACUUUUCUCAGUUCUUACUACAAAAGGUGAAAAGAAUGAAGAAGGAAACAAUCUAGGCAAUGCAGACUUAAUUGACUCCUAAUUGUCCUUCAGUUUUAAAAUGUGCUAUUAAAAUAUACAACUUGUAGUUUGCUAGUAUGUUUCAUGUCAUAGUGUUGUCCAUAGCCAGGUAGAAAUAUUCAUAAAAAAGGAGUCAACCAACUAUAGGUAGGAUUGUACAGUACUCACUGGCAAAAUAUGUUUGCUGGUGGCCAGAAUUAUUGAAGCAGAUGGCACAUGAUGAGCUCAUCAGGACAUGUCCAGACGCCCAGCUUUGUAAUACCAAGUUUUAUUAUUCUUGCUCAGAUGCUGCCCUAUCCUAAUAUUACACUUAAAAUUUUACCUAUGAAGCAUUUACAAUUUUAUACUAAAUUAUACAUGCUUUUAUUGUAAACUAGAAAUAAAAAUGAUGCUUAUGUUAAAACUUUGAUUCAAUACCCAUAAAACACUGCAGAGAUAUCUUAAGAUCAAAUGCUUGCCCCAUGAACUAGCAUCUAAAUUACCGUUCAUUUUUAGGGAAAAUUUCAUUAUCUAUUUGAAGUUGGUUCCAUAAAUAUAAUUCAUAAACUCAGAA
rnacentral:lncRNA from 1 species